UACGGAGGGUGCAAGCGUUAUCCGGAUUCACUGGGUUUAAAGGGUGCGUAGGUGGGCAGGUAAGUCAGUGGUGAAAUCUCCGGGCUUAACCCGGAAACUGCCGUUGAUACUAUCUGUCUUGAAUAUAGAGGAGGUGAGCGGAAUAUGUCAUGUAGCGGUGAAAUGCUUAGAUAUGACAUAGAACAUCGAUUGCGAAGGCAGCUCGCUACACUAUUAUUGACGCUGAGGCACGAAAGCGUGGGGAUCAAACAGG
rnacentral:rRNA from 1 species